rnacentral:rRNA from 1 species
UACGGAGGGUGCAAGCGUUAUCCGGAUUCACUGGGUUUAAAGGGUGCGUAGGUGGGCAGGUAAGUCAGUGGUGAAAUCUCCGGGCUUAACCCGGAAACUGCCGUUGAUACUAUUUGUCUUGAAUAUAGUGGAGGUGAGCGGAAUAUGUCAUGUAGCGGUGAAAUGCUUAGAUAUGACAUAGAACAUCGAUUGCGAAGGCGGCAUCCUGGACCAACACUGACGCUGAGUGAGCGAAAGCCAGGGGAGCAAACGGG